GCCAGGUAUGGUGGUGUGCACCUGUAGUCCCAGCUACUAGGGAGGCUGAGGUAGGAGGAUUGCUUGAACCCAGGAGGCCAAGGCUGUAGUGAGCUGUGAUCACACCACUGCACUCUAGCCUGGGUGACAGAGUAAGACCCUGUCUCAA
ensembl:misc_RNA Metazoa_SRP Metazoan signal recognition particle RNA